CUUUGGCCUGGAAUAACACGAGGAAACUUGUGCUAAUACUGGAUAAGUCUUUACGGAGAAAGCUUUAUGCACCAUUGGAUGAGCCUGCACUUGAUUAGUUUGUUGGUGGGGUAAUGGCCUACCAAGACUGUGAUCAAUAGCUGAUUUGAGAGGAUGAUCAGCCACAUUGGGACUGAGACACGGCCCAAACUCCUACGGGAGGCAGCAGUGGGGAAUCUUGCACAAUGGAGGAAACUCUGAUGCAGCGAUGCCGCGUGAGUGAAGAAGGCCUUUGGGUUGUAAAGCUCCUUCGUCGGGGAAGAAAAUGACUGUACCCGAAUAAGAAGGUCCGGCUAACUUCGUGCCAGCAGCCGCGGUAAUACGAAGGGACCUAGCGUAGUUCGGAAUUACUGGGCUUAAAGAGUUCGUAGGUGGUUGAAAAAGUUGGUGGUGAAAUCCCAGAGCUUAACUCUGGAACUGCCAUCAAAACUUUUCAGCUAGAGUUUGAUAGAGGAAAGCAGAAUUUCUAGUGUAGAGGUGAAAUUCGUAGAUAUUAGAAAGAACACCAAAUGCGAAGGCAACUUUCUGGGUCACUACUGACACUGAGGAGCGAAAGCAUGGGUAGCGAAGAGGAUUAGAUACCCUCGUAGUCCAUGCCGUAAACGAUGUGUGCUAGACGUUGGAAAUAUAUUUUUCAGUGUCGCAGCGAAAGCAU
rnacentral:rRNA from 1 species